rnacentral:rRNA from 1 species
CAGCACCUCAAGUGGUCAGGAUGAUUAUUGGGCCUAAAGCAUCCGUAGCCGGCGCUGUAAGUUGUCGGUUAAAUCUGUACGCUCAACGUACAGGCUGCCGGGAAUACUGCAGCGCUAGGGAGUGGGAGAGGUAGACGGUACUCGGUAGGAAGGGGUAAAAUCCUUUGAUCUAUUGAUGACCACCUGUGGCGAAGGCGGUCUACCAGAACACGUCCGACGGUGAGGGAUGAAAGCUGGGGGAGCAAACCGGAUUAGAUACCCGAGUAGUCC